CUCUCUCUCUCUCUCUCUACAACCCAGAAACCACCUAACAUUUCCUUCCACCCAAUCCAAAACCAAGCCAAACAUCCCUACUCACUCUCUCUCAUUUCAUUUCGCCUCUCAUCUGCCUUCACUCAGUCUCAGACUCUCCCUCUCUUUCUCGGAUUUGAAGCUUAGCAGCCACCCACCGUCUAGCAAUCUGACUCCGACGAACUAUCUCCACUCCGGCCACCACCACACCUCAUGGCUUCAUCCCCACCUCCGGUUCUCUCCAGUGAUUCUCUGUGUGUGUGGGAUUUCAAAUUGAGGUUAGGGUUUUGAAUUGGGGCUUAGGGUUUCGAAUUGGGGGCUCGGGUCAGGAGGAGGUCCCUCUCUUCACUCUGCUUCUUUCUCGACCAUAAAUCUUUCACUGAUUCACUAUCACUAUGUCUCUGAUUUCAAUUUGGAUUUUUAAUGCAGGUUCGGAUGAUUUCAAUAUUAAUCUAAGACGAUUUGGAUUCUGAUGAUGUUCGGUUUCGGGAAAUUCCGAAAUACCGAAAAUAUUUCGGGAAUCCCGAAAUUUGGGAAUCCGAAAUUUCGGUUCGGGAUCGGUCAUGAGAUUUACGUCCCGAAAAUUUUCGGUUCGGGAUUUGAUAUGCCAUUUUUGGUUCGGUAUCCCAUACCGAACCAGCCCUAAU
rnacentral:lncRNA from 1 species